rnacentral:rRNA from 1 species
AACGCGAAGAACCUUACCUGGGCUCGAAGCGCAGUGGAAUCCGGUGGAAACAUCGGCGCCCCUUAAAAGGCUGCUGCGGAGGUGCUGCAUGGCUGUCGUCAGCUCGUGUCGUGAGAUGUUGGGUUAAGUCCCGCAACGAGCGCAACCCUUAUCGUUAGUUGCCAGCGGGUUAUGCCGGGCACUCUAGCGAAACCGCCCCGGAUAACGGGGAGGAAGGUGGGGAUGACGUCAAGUCCUCAUGGCCUUUAUGUCCAGGGCUACACACGUGCUACAAUGGCCGGUACAAACCGUCGCAAACCCGCGAGGGGGAGCUAAUCGCAAAAAAGCGCGCUCAGUUCGGAUUGCAGUCUGCAACUCGACUGCAUGAAGCCGGAAUCGCUAGUAAUGGCGCAUCAGAACGGCGCCGUGAAUACGUUCCCGGGCCUUGUACACACCGCGUGUCU